rnacentral:rRNA from 1 species
AUUGAACGCUGGCGGCAGGCCUAACACAUGCAAGUCGAGCGGAUGAAGGGUGCUUGCUCCUGGAUUCAGCGGCGGACGGGUGGGUAAUGCCUAGGAAUCUGCCUGUUUGUGGUGUAUAACGUCCGGAAGCGGGGGCUAAUACCCCAUUAGUCCUUACGGAGUAAGUGGGGGAUCUUCGGACCUUCCGCUAUCGGAUGAGCCUAGGUCGGAUUAGCUAGUUGGUGGGGUAAAGGCCUACCAAGGCGACGAUCCGUAACUGGUCUGAGAGGAUGAUCAGUCACACUGGAACUGAGACACGGUCCAGACUCCUACGGGAGGCAGCAGUGGGGAAUAUUGGACAAUGGGCGAAAGCCUGAUCCAGCCAUGCCGCGUGUGUGAAGAAGGUCUUCGGAUUGUAAAGCCCUUUUAGUUGGGAGGAAGGGCAGUAAGUUAAUACCUCGCUGUUUUGACGUUACCAACAGAAUAAGCACCGGCUAACUUCGUG